rnacentral:rRNA from 1 species
GUAUCUGAUUUGUGUUCAGCUGUUAAUUGUUUGUAAUGUAUAAUUUUAAAAGUGUGUUAGUAGUUUACUGCCGUACAUUGCUUUUUAGUUUACAUCUGCAUCAAUUAGCGGUGCAUUUACAAAUCUAUGUGCGCUGGAACAUGUGCGUGGGUUGCUGGAUUCACAAGAAGAUCUUUACAAUUUAUUGUAUUGAGCAAACUUGUUGUUAUAAGGCAAUUCUGCGUGCAUGUCUAAUGAUUUUUUGGGGUAUGGCAUUAGCGAAUGCAUUUUGUGUAUGGUUUUGCAGCGUAUGUCGGUCGCUUGCGACACGUAUAUGGUUUUGCAAAAAAUUUAAUAUACAUUUUGCUUCACUUGCCCGCUUCCAGUGUAAAAGUUAAUUAUCUAUCCGACCCGUCUUGAAACACGGACCAAGGAUUUUAACGUAUACGCGAGUCAUUGGGUGAUAAAACCCUAAAGGCGUAAUGAAA